rnacentral:rRNA from 1 species
UACGGAGGGUGCAAGCGUUAUCCGGAUUCACUGGGUUUAAAGGGUGCGUAGGCUGAUUUGUAAGUCCGUGGUGAAAUCUCCAAGCUUAACUUGGAAACUGCCGUGGAUACUAUAAGUCUUGAAUGUUGUGGAGGUUAGCGGAAUAUGUCAUGUAGCGGUGAAAUGCAUAGAUAUGACAUAGAACACCAAUUGCGAAGGCAGCUGGCUACACAAAUAUUGACGCUGAGGCACGAAAGCGUGGGGAUCAAACAGG